rnacentral:rRNA from 1 species
CCUACGGGUGGCAGCAGUGAGGAAUAUUGGUCAAUGGCCGAGAGUCUGAACCAGCCAAGUCGCGUGAGGGAAGACUGCCCUACGGGUUGUAAACUUCUUUUGUAGGGGAGUAAAGCGAGUCACGUGUGCCUUUUUGCGAGUACUCUAUGAAAAAGCAUCGGCUAACUCCGUGCCAGCAGCCGCGGUAAUACGGAGGAUGCGAGCGUUAUCCGGAUUUAUUGGGUUUAAAGGGUGCGUAGGAGGUCUGUUAAGUCAGCGGUAAAAUUUCGGGGCUCAACCCCGGCGAGGCGUUGAAACUGGCAGACUUGAGUUGGCGAGAAGUACGCGGAAUGCGCGGGGUAGCGGUGAAAUGCAUAGAUAUCGCGCAGAACUCCGAUUGCGAAGGCAGCGUACCGGCGCCAGACUGACGCUGAGGCACGAAAGCGUGGGGAUCGAACAGGAUUAGAUACCCUUGUAGUC